ACUGUGGCAGAAGCAAAGGAAACAUGGCGAACCACUUCCUGGCUUGAAAAGCUUCUGUGUGAAAGUGACACACAUCUCUUCUGUCUACAUUUCAGAAGGGAUGGGGCCAGGGAUGCUGAGGACACACCAUGUACCCUUUUUCAGGCCAUAUCCAGUAACAGAGUCUACUGCAUCAUAUUAACUGAUAAACCCAGAAUGACAAGAGAAACAUGGGACUCACUCUUCAUUUGCAUUGACUCCAGCUAAGAGCUUCAGUUUUCAUGCCUUGCUUCAGAAUUAUUGUGGUCUGAUGCAGAACUGAAAAGGCCAACACGAGAAUCUUCGACAAUUGCCUGGGAAUCCUGAGGUCUGGACAGCAACACCUAAAUCUGAAUCUCUUUUGGGUUGAAUCAUAAAAGAAAAUAGUAUGGAGAGAUUUAAGGCCAGGCCUCUGGAGAAGGAAUUGAUAAAAUAUGUGGUAGUACCUGCAUGACAGAACAGAAUUCACUUGGAAGUUCUUGGUAUAUAGUAAGCACUCAGUAACUGUUAGUUAUCGCUCUCAUCUCUAUGAAGACUGUAUUUGACAUGCCAUCAUCUCCAUAAGAUUCCUGAAUUCA
rnacentral:lncRNA from 1 species